UACGUAGGAGGCGAGCGUUAUCCGGAUUUACUGGGCGUAAAGGGGGCGCAGGCGGCCUUUCAAGUCGGAUGUAAAAUCUCCCGGCUUAACCGGGAGGGACCAUUCGAUACUGUUGGGCUUGAGAGCAGCAGGGGGAGGUGGAAUUCCCGGUGGAGUGGUGAAAUGCGUAGAUAUCGGGAGGAACACCAGUGGCGAAGGCGGCCUUCUAGGCUGUUUCUGACGCUGAGGCCCGAAAGCGUGGGGAG
rnacentral:rRNA from 1 species